GUGAGGAAUUUUCCGCAAUGGGCGAAAGCCUGACGGAGCAAUGCCGCGUGAAGGAUGAAGGCCUAUGGGUUGUAAACUUCUUUUCUCAGAAAAGAAUUAUGACGGUAUCUGAGGAAUAAGCAUCGGCUAACUCUGUGCCAGCAGCCGCGGUAAGACAGAGGAUGCAAGCGUUAUCCGGAAUGAUUGGUCGUAAAGCGUCUGUAGGUUGUUUAAAAAGUAUUCUGUCAAAGAUUAGGGCUUAACCCUAGAUAGGCAGAAUAAACUUUUAAGCUAGAGUUUGGUAGAGGCAGAGGGAAUUCCCGGUGGAGCGGUGAAAUGCGUAGAUAUCGGGAGGAACACCAAAGGCGAAGGCACUCUGCUGGGCCAAUACUAACACUGAGAGACGAAAGCGAGGGGAGCAAAUGGGAUUAGAAACCCGGGUAGUCC
rnacentral:rRNA from 1 species